rnacentral:lncRNA from 1 species
AACUUCUGAUUUAGGCACUACAAAUUAUGCUUUUUGAUAUGAAAAAGAUGAGAAUUUGAAUGGGAUGAGCAAAACAACAAGCUAAGUAAGUACGCUAAUAAACUACACCCUAUGUAUGCACAUACGACAUACAAUCAGACAUACAUGUAAAACAUUUCUUACAUUUUUAGAAAAGGAUGAAUUUCAAACAAAAGGGUUUUAAAUCUUAAUCUAAAAUCCUAGAGAUUGUGUUUUUCUAUAGUUUCUUUGGUGCUCUUGUUGUUUUCUAUUUUCCUACUAUUCUUUCUAAUUUUGAUUGUCGAUCCUAAUCGCACGUGCAGUGUCUAAUAGAACAAGUACCAUUACGGAUCUGGAUCCCCACUACCACAUAGGCCAGGACAAUACGAUCAUGCACGGAUUGAUCACAGCAUUACUUAGCCAGGUGAUCCAAACAAAGACAUACAUCCCAACUAUGUUUGGAAGGGCUUUCAUCCACUUAUUGGUAAGGUUCACUCACUGCUAAAUUUCAGCAAUACUGUUCUAACGAAUGUUUACAAUUUUGUUUUGAGAUGUCCUCUGUACUUUUGCUUUGUUUCUAUCAUUAUUUUCUUUCUUUGAGUUUUAUUUACAUACUUUACAUUCUCUAU